rnacentral:rRNA from 1 species
AUUGAACGCUGGCGGCAGGCCUAACACAUGCAAGUCGAGCGGAUGAAGGGAGCUUGCUCCUGGAUUCAGCGGCGGACGGGUGAGUAAUGCCUAGGAAUCUGCCUGGUAGUGGGGGAUAACGUCCGGAAACGGGCGCUAAUACCGCAUACGUCCUGAGGGAGAAAGUGGGGGAUCUUCGGACCUCACGCUAUCAGAUGAGCCUAGGUCGGAUUAGCUAGUUGGUGGGGUAAAGGCCUACCAAGGCGACGAUCCGUAACUGGUCUGAGAGGAUGAUCAGUCACCCUGGGACUGGGACACGGUCCAGACUCCUACGGGAGGCAGCAGUGGGGAAUAUUGGACAAUGGGCGAAAGCCUGAUCCCGCCAUGCCGCGUGUGUGAAGAAGGGCUUCGGAUUGUAAAGCACUUUAAGUUGGGAGGAAGGGCAGUAAGUUAAUACCUUGCUGUUUUUACGUUACCCACAGAAUAAGCACCCGCUAACUUCGUGC